UGGCUUAUAAUCUUUACAUAAUAGCUUAGAAUUAAUUCUAAAUAAAUAAACGGAAGUGCUAUUAAAUAAGGUAGGUUGCGAUUAAAUAGUUGGUGAGGUAAAAGCUCACCAAGUUGAUGAUUUAUAGCUGGUUUGAGAAAACGGCCAGCCACAUUGGGAAGGAAGUAAGGCCCAAACUCUAGUUAGAGUCAGCAGUGAGGAAUUUUGGACAAUGGGCUAAAGCCUGAUCCAGCAAUAUUUUAUUAGGUAUGAAGGCAUUUAGCCGAAACCCUACUAAGCUGAAAAAGAUAAUGACGGUAU
rnacentral:rRNA from 1 species